rnacentral:piRNA from 1 species
UUCACAAAGCAAGCCAGCAGCUCCUGCAA